AGAGUGAACGCUGGCGGUAGGCCUAACACAUGCAAGUCGAACGGCAGCACAGUGGUAGCAAUACCAUGGGUGGCGAGUGGCGGACGGGUGAGGAAUACAUCGGAAUCUACCUUUUCGUGGGGGAUAACGUAGGGAAACUUACGCUAAUACCGCAUACGCCCUUCGGGGGAAAGCCGGGGAUCGCAAGACCUGGCGCGGAUAGAUGAGCCGAUGUCGGAUUAGCUAGUUGGUGAGGUAAUGGCUCACCAAGGCGACGAUCCGUAGCUGGUCUGAGAGGAUGAUCAGCCACACUGGAACUGAGACACGGUCCAGACUCCUACGGGAGGCAGCAGUGGGGAAUAUUGGACAAUGGGCGCAAGCCUGAUCCAGCCAUACCGCGUGGGUGAAGAAGGCCGUUCGGUAGUAAAGCCCUCUUGUUGGGAAAGUAAAAGCUAAAUCGGUUAAAUACCCGGUUGUUCGUAGACGGUAACCCAAAGAA
rnacentral:rRNA from 1 species